ensembl:rRNA 5S_rRNA 5S ribosomal RNA
GCCAGCAGCCAUAUCACCCUGCAACUCACAACUGGCAACCCACUGAAGCUAAGCAGGCAUGAGCCUGGUCAGUACCUGGAUGGAAGACCUCCUGGGAAAAACUAAGGUUGCUGCUGGAA